rnacentral:rRNA from 2 species
UUAAAAUCUAUUUAUUUAUUUAUUCUAUUUUUAUUUUAUUUAAUAUUUUAAUUAAUUUGUUUAAAUUUUUGUUUAAUAUAUAUAUUAUAAAUUAAUUUUUAAAGGUUUGUACCUUUUGUAUUAGGGUAAAUUUAUUAAUUAAAUUAUUUUAUUUUCCCGAAUUUGAGUUAUUUAAAUAAGUUUAAUUUUAUUUGUUUUAAAAAAUUUUUAAAAUCUUAUUUUUGUAAUUAAAAGUUAUUCGUUUUCAAUUUAUAUCUGGUUAUUUUAGAUUAAAUUUAAUUUUAAAUUAUUUAAUUUUUUAAUAUUAUUUUUUUAAUUUUACUUUGUAAGGGAUAAUCUUUAUAUUUUUAUAUAACUUAUAUUUUUAUAUUUCAAUUAACUUUUAAAUUUUGUAUUUAGUUUUUAAUAAAUUUGUUUAUUUUUAUUUGAUUUUUUUUAGUUUAUAUUAUUAUAGAAUAUAUUUAAAUAAUUUUACUGUAAUUUUAAUAAUGAUUUAAUUAGUAGGAUUUUUAUAUAUUUAUAUUGAAUUCAACAUAUAUUAUUCUCAACUGUUUAUCAAAAACAUUUCUUUUAGUUUUAAUUAAAAGUAAGUUCUGCUCUAUGACAAUUUAAAUGGCUGCAGUAUUUUAACUGUACAAAGGUAGCAUAAUAAUUAGUCUUUUAAUUAAGGGCUUGUAUGAAUGAAUAAAUGAGGGAUUAGUUUUAAUGAUUUAUAUUAUUUAAAUUUAAUUUUUUGGUAAAAAAGCUAAUAAUCUAUUUGGGACGAAAAGACCCUACAGAACUAUUUUUAAAAUUAGUUUAUUUAAAUUUAAUUUAUUUUAAUUUUCUUUUUUAAAUUUUAUUGGGGUGAUAAUUAAAUUUAAGCUUUAUUUUUAUUUUUCUUUAAUUUAAGAUUAAAUAAUUGAUUCAUAUUGAUUGGUUUAAGAAAAAGUUACCUUAGGGAUAACAGCGUAAUUUUAAUGGAAAGUUCUUAUUUAUAUUGAAGUUUGCGACCUCGAUGUUGAAUUAAGAUUAAUUUUAGGGGCAGUACCUUAGAUUUCGAGUCUGUUCGACUCUUAAAUUCUUACAUGAUUUGAGUUCAAAUCGGUGUGAGCCAGAUUGGUUUCUAUCUUAAUACUAUUAAUUUACUUUAGUACGAAAGGACCAGGUAAAUAAUUAUUUUAAAUUUAUUUAUUUAUAAAAUUA